CGGGGCGUAGCUCAGCUUGGUAGAGCGCCAGUUUUGGGAACUGGAAGUCGCACGUUCGAAUCGUGUCGCCCCGACCA
rnacentral:tRNA from 1 species